GGUGCACCUUAAGAAAGCACCGAGCAAAAGACAAGAGAGCCUGAGAACCAAAAAGUGAAAAGGAGGAAAGAACAAAGGAUGUCAUUCAAUAAGAAAAAAGUCAAGAAGGAAAUGAGAACACAUUGGAAUCAAGAAAUACAAGGGAGGAGAGAAAUACAGGAAACAUUUCAAAAAGACUGAUGCUUCAAACAAGAGAAUUAUCCGAGUGAAAGAGAAGAUUUAUUCGAAGGUACAAAACGGAGGUGCACACUCAUUUUAACAAAAUGCUGAGUUAGAGCUAAGAUCUACUCGUAAGGCCACGGUCUGGAAGGUUAUCGCUAAGGGCUGUUUAAAAAUUUGAAAUGUUCCCGCUAAAAAACUUAAUAAAAAUUGGCGCGCCCGUAUUUUUUUAAUUGUUCUGUAAGUAACAUCUGUUUAAAUGCGGCAAAUUUUCCCGCCAAAAAACUUAAAAAAAUCGGUGCUCUAAAAUACGCAUGCGCCGAAUUUUUUUUCCAUUAGAGUUAUAUUUUCUAAAUAUAGUCUACGUUGCUAAUAGACUUGGUAUUUAUUUUCUUGUAUCGUAUUACUAUUAGUAAACAAGGCAAUAAAGCUUAGUGAUCAGU